rnacentral:rRNA from 1 species
UACGUAGGGGGCAAGCGUUGUCCGGAAUCAUUGGGCGUAAAGCGCGCGUAGGCGGCCCGGUAAGUCCGCUGUGAAAGUCAAAGGCUCAACCUUUGAAUGCCGGUGGAUACUGUCGGGCUAGAGUCCGGAAGAGGCGAGUGGAAUUCCUGGUGUAGCGGUGGAAUGCGCAGAUAUCAGGAGGAACACCAAUAGCGAAGGCAGCUCGCUGGGACGGUACUGACGCUAAGGCGCGAAAGCGUGGGAGCGAACAGG